GUGCCAGCCGCCGCGGUAAUACGUAGGGUGCGAGCGUUAAUCGGAAUUACUGGGCGUAAAGCGUGCGCAGGCGGUCUCGUAAGACAGGUGUGAAAUCCCCGGGCUUAACCUGGGAACUGCGCUUGUGACUGCGAGGCUGGAGUGCGGAAGAGGGAGGUGGAAUUCCACGUGUAGCAGUGAAAUGCGUAGAGAUGUGGAGGAACACCGAUGGCGAAGGCAGCCUCCUGGUCCAGCACUGACGCUCAUGCACGAAAGCGUGGGGAGCAAACAGGAUUAGAUACCCCAGUAGUCC
rnacentral:rRNA from 1 species